AGAUUGAACGCUGGCGGCAGGCCUAACACAUGCAAGUCGAGCGGUAGAGAGGUGCUUGCAUCUCUUGAGAGCGGCGGACGGGUGAGUAAUGCCUAGGAAUCUGCCUAGUGGUGGGGGAUAACGUUCGGAAACGGACGCUAAUACCGCAUACGUCCUACGGGAGAAAGCGGGGGACCUUCGGGCCUCGCGCCAUUAGAUGAGCCUAGGUCGGAUUAGCUAGUUGGUGAGGUAAUGGCUCACCAAGGCGACGAUCCGUAACUGGUCUGAGAGGAUGAUCAGUCACACUGGAACUG
rnacentral:rRNA from 1 species